UCCGGUAUGGUCUAGUGGCUAGGAUAUCUGGCUCUCACCCAGAAGGCCCGGGUUCGAUUCCCGGUACCGGAA